CUUUUUAUAUAUUUGUGCUAAAUAAUUUUAUUAUUAACCUCAAAAACUUUCAUUGAAUCUAAACCCAUCAACCAACAAGAGACAGAGACGAUCUCACGCCAACCCCCAGGAUGAGAAUUACUGUAAUGACGGCAGAUGAACAGAUCCUUAGCUUAGAUGUUGAUCCUCAUGAAACUGUUGAAAAUUUGAAAGCUUUGCUUGAAGUUGAGACUAUGGUGCCAUUACAGCAGAAGCAACUUUUGUUUAAUGGGAGGGAAAUGAACAACUUCGAGAAGUUGAGUGCAUUAGGAAGAU